rnacentral:rRNA from 1 species
CCGAAUGGGGAAACCCAGUGUGAUUCGUCACACUAUCAUUAACUGAAUCCAUAGGUUAAUGAGGCGAACCGGGGGAACUGAAACAUCUAAGUACCCCGAGGAAAAGAAAUCAACCGAGAUUCCCCCAGUAGCGGCGAGCGAACGGGGAGGAGCCCAGAGCCUGAAUCAGCAUGUGUGUUAGUGGAAGCGUCUGGAAAGGCGCGCGAUACAGGGUGACAGCCCCGUACACAAAAGCGCAUGUGCUGUGAGCUCGAUGAGUAGGGCGGGACACGUGGUAUCCUGUCUGAAUAUGGGGGGACCAUCCUCCAAGGCUAAAUACUCCUGACUGACCGAUAGUGAACCAGUACCGUGAGGGAAAGGCGAAAAGAACCCCGGCGAGGGGAGUGAAAAAGAACCUGAAACCGUGUACGUACAAGCAGUGGGAGCNNNNNNNNNNNNNNNNNNNNNNNNNNNNNNNNNNNNNNGGGCGUUAAGUUGCAGGGUAUAGACCCGAAACCCGGUGAUCUAGCCAUGGGCAGGUUGAAGGUUGGGUAACACUAACUGGAGGACCGAACCGACUAAUGUUGAAAAAUUAGCGGAUGACCUGUGGCUGGGGGUGAAAGGCCAAUCAAACCGGGAGAUAGCUGGUUCUCCCCGAAAGCUAUUUAGGUAGCGCCUCGUGAAUUCAUCUCCGGGGGUAGAGCACUGUUUCGGCUAGGGGGCCAUCCCGGCUUACCAACCCGAUGCAAACUGCGAAUACCGGAGAAUGUUAUCACGGGAGACACACGGCGGGUGCUAACGUCCGUCGUGAAGAGGGAAACAACCCAGACCGCCAGCUAAGGUCCCAAAGUCAUGGUUAAGUGGGAAACGAUGUGGGAAGGCCCAGACAGCCAGGAUGUUGGCUUAGAAGCAGCCAUCAUUUAAAGAAAGCGUAAUAGCUCACUGGUCGAGUCGGCCUGCGCGGAAGAUGUAACGGGGCUAAACCAUGCACCGAAGCUGCGGCAGCGANNNNNNNNNNNNNNNNNNNNNNNNNNNNNNNNNNNNNNNNNUGCUGGAGGUAUCAGAAGUGCGAAUGCUGACAUAAGUAACGAUAAAGCGGGUGAAAAGCCCGCUCGCCGGAAGACCAAGGGUUCCUGUCCAACGUUAAUCGGGGCAGGGUGAGUCGACCCCUAAGGCGAGGCCGAAAGGCGUAGUCGAUGGGAAACGGGUUAAUAUUCCCGUACUUGGUGUUACUGCGAAGGGGGGACGGAGAAGGCUAUGUUGGCCGGGCGACGGUUGUCCCGGUUUAAGCGUGUAGGUGUGUGUUCCAGGUAAAUCCGGUUCACUUUAACACUGAGGCGUGACGACGAGGCACUACGGUGCUGAAGCAACAAAUGCCCUGCUUCCAGGAAAAGCCUCUAAGCAUCAGGUAACACGAAAUCGUACCCCAAACCGACACAGGUGGUCAGGUAGAGAAUACCAAGGCGCUUGAGAGAACUCGGGUGAAGGAACUAGGCAAAAUGGUGCCGUAACUUCGGGAGAAGGCACGCUGACACGUAGGUGAAGUGAUUUACUCAUGGAGCUGAAGUCAGUCGAAGAUACCAGCUGGCUGCAACUGUUUAUUAAAAACACAGCACUGUGCAAACACGAAAGUGGACGUAUACGGUGUGACGCCUGCCCGGUGCCGGAAGGUUAAUUGAUGGGGUCAGCGCAAGCGAAGCUCCUGAUCGAAGCCCCGGUAAACGGCGGCCGUAACUAUAACGGUCCUAAGGUAGCGAAAUUCCUUGUCGGGUAAGUUCCGACCUGCACGAAUGGCGUAAUGAUGGCCAGGCUGUCUCCACCCGAGACUCAGUGAAAUUGAACUCGCUGUGAAGAUGCAGUGUACCCGCGGCAAGACGGAAAGACCCCGUGAACCUUUACUAUAGCUUGACACUGAACAUUGAGCCUUGAUGUGUAGGAUAGGUGGGAGGCUUUGAAGUGUGGACGCCAGUCUGCAUGGAGCCGACCUUGAAAUACCACCCUUUAAUGUUUGAUGUUCUAACGUGGACCCGUAAUCCGGGUUGCGGACAGUGUCUGGUGGGUAGUUUGACUGGGGCGGUCUCCUCCUAAAGAGUAACGGAGGAGCACGAAGGUUGGCUAAUCCUGGUCGGACAUCAGGAGGUUAGUGCAAUGGCAUAAGCCAGCUUGACUGCGAGCGUGACGGCGCGAGCAGGUGCGAAAGCAGGUCAUAGUGAUCCGGUGGUUCUGAAUGGAAGGGCCAUCGCUCAACGGAUAAAAGGUACUCCGGGGAUAACAGGCUGAUACCGCCCAAGAGUUCAUAUCGACGGCGGUGUUUGGCACCUCGAUGUCGGCUCAUCACAUCCUGGGGCUGAAGUAGGUCCCAAGGGUAUGGCUGUUCGCCAUUUAAAGUGGUACGCGAGCUGGGUUUAGAACGUCGUGAGACAGUUCGGUCCCUAUCUGCCGUGGGCGCUGGAGAACUGAGGGGGGCUGCUCCUAGUACGAGAGGACCGGAGUGGACGCAUCACUGGUGUUCGGGUUGUCAUGCCAAUGGCACUGCCCGGUAGCUAAAUGCGGAAGAGAUAAGUGCUGAAAGCAUCUAAGCACGAAACUUGCCCCGAGAUGAGUUCUCCCUGAGACUUAGAGUCUCCUGAAGGAACGUUGAAGACGACGACGU